AAAAUUAGAGUGUUCAAAGCAGGCAGAUCCAAUUUUCUGCCACCGAAUACAUUAGCAUGGGAUAAUGGAAUAGGACCCUGUCCUCCUAUUUUCAGUUGGUUUUGGCAGCGCGAGGACUAGGGUAAUGAUUAAUAGGGAUAGUUGGGGGCAUUAAUAUUUAAUUGUCAGAGGUGAAAUUCUUGGAUUUAUGAAAGAUUAACUUCUGCGAAAGCAUCUGCCAAGGAUGUUUUCAUUAAUCAAGAACGAAAGUUAGGGGAUCGAAGACGAUCAGAUACCGUCGUAGUCUUAACCAUAAACGAUGCCGACCAGCGAUUAGGAGACGUUGAAUACAAAACACCACCAUCGGCGCGGUCGUCCUUGGCGUGUCUCGGCUUCACGGCCGGGGCGCGCGAGGGCGGUUUAGCCCGGUGGCACCGGUGAAUGACUCCCCUAGCACAUUGUGAGA
rnacentral:rRNA from 1 species